GAUGAACGCUGGCGGCGUGCCUAAUACAUGCAAGUCGAGCGAACAGAUGAGGAGCUUGCUCCUCUGACGUUAGCGGCGGACGGGUGAGUAACACGUGGAUAACCUACCUAUAAGACUGGGAUAACUUCGGGAAACCGGAGCUAAUACCGGAUCAUAUAUUGAACCGCAUGGUUCAAUAGUGAAUGACGGUUUUGCUGUCACUUAUAGAUGGAUCCGCGCCGCAUUAGCUAGUUGGUAAGGUAACGGCUUACCAAGGCAACGAUGCGUAGCCGACCUGAGAGGGUGAUCGGCCACACUGGAACUGAGACACGGUCCAGACUCCUACGGGAGGCAGCAGUAGGGAAUCUUCCGCAAUGGGCGAAAGCCUGACGGAGCAACGCCGCGUGAGUGAUGAAGGUCUUCGGAUCGUAAAACUCUGUUAUUAGGGAAGAACAAAUGUGUAAGUAACUAUGCACGUCUUGACGGUACCUAAUCAGAAAGCCACGGCUAACUACGUG
rnacentral:rRNA from 1 species